AUCCUGGCCGUAAACGAUGGGUACUAGGUGUAGGAGGUAUCGACCCCUUCUGUGCCGGAGUUAACGCAAUAAGUACCCCGCCUGGGGAGUACGGCCGCAAGGUUGAAACUCAAAGGAAUUGACGGGGGCCCGCACAAGCGGUGGAGUAUGUGGUUUAAUUCGACGCAACGCGAAGAACCUUACCAAGACUUGACAUUGAUUGAAAAGCUAAGAGAUUAGCUCCUCUUCUUCGGAAGACAAGAAACAGGUGGUGCAUGGCUGUCGU
rnacentral:rRNA from 1 species